CGGCGGCGGUAGUAACACGUGGAUAACCUACCUAUAAGACUGGGAUAACUUCGGGAAACCGGAGCUAAUACCGGAUAAUAUAUUGAACCGCAUGGUUCAAUAGUGAAAGACGGUUUUGCUGUCACUUAUAGAUGGAUCCGCGCCGCAUUAGCUAGUUGGUAAGGUAACGGCUUACCAAGGCAACGAUGCGUAGCCGACCUGAGAGGGUGAUCGGCCACACUGGAACUGAGACACGGUCCAGACUCCUACGGGAGGCAGCAGCC
rnacentral:rRNA from 1 species